CGGGUAGAGUAAUGCGUGACCAACCUGCCCAUGCUCCAGAAUAGCUCUUGGAAACGGGUGGUAAUGCUGGAUGCUCCAACUUGACGCAUGUCUUGUUGGGAAAGUGUUUAGUGGCAUGGGAUGGGGUCGCGUCCUAUCAGCUUGUAGGCGGGGUAAUGGCCCACCUAGGCUUCGACGGGUAGCCGGCCUGAGAGGGCGGACGGCCACAUUGGGACUGAGAUACGGCCCAGACUCCUACGGGAGGCAGCAGAC
rnacentral:rRNA from 1 species